rnacentral:rRNA from 1 species
CAUUAAAGAGUUCUAUAACUCCCAAACCCAUGUGAACAUACCUAACGUUGCCUCGGCAGGUCGCACCUACCUUGUAGCACCCUACCCUGUAGGGCCUACCCGGGAGGUGCGGGUAAGCCUGCCGGCGGCCCACCAAACUCUGUUUGAUAUUGAAUUCUGAACCUAUAACUAAAUAAGUUAAAACUUUCAACAACGGAUCUCUUGGUUCUGGCAUCGAUGAAGAACGCAGCGAAAUGCGAUAAGUAAUGUGAAUUGCAGAAUUCAGUGAAUCAUCGAAUCUUUGAACGCAUAUUGCGCCCAUUAGUAUUCUAGUGGGCAGGACCGUUCGAGCGUCAUUUCAACCCUUAAGCCUUCGUUGCUUAGUGUUGGGAGCCUACGGCAACGUAGCUCCUCAAAGUUAGUGGCGGAGUUGGUUCACACUCUAGACGUAGUAAUUUUUUAUCUCGCCUAUUAGUUGGACUAAUCCCCUGCCGUAAAACCCCCAAUCUAUAUCAAGGUUGACCUCGAAUCGGUUCAGACAAACUCGCUAAAUUGAA